rnacentral:misc_RNA from 1 species
GCAAACUUGGUCAUUUAGAGGAAGUAAAAGUCGUAACAAGGUUUCCGUAGGUGAACCUUCGGAAGGAUCAUUAUCGAGUGCCGGGCGCAAGCCCGUCUUCGCACACCCUCUGUCGACUCUCCGCAGUUGCUUCGGCGGCGCGCCCCUCACGGACGCCCGCCGGAGGACCAACCCAAACGCAUGGCAAACCGGUCUGUCCGAGGCUAUACGCGAAAUCAGUCAAAACUUUCAACAACGGAUCUCUUGGUUCGGGCAUCGAUGAAGAACGCAGC